rnacentral:rRNA from 1 species
GUGUCAGCAGCCGCGGUAAGACGAGGGGUGCAAACGUUAUUCGGAAUGAUUGGGCGUAAAGGGUGCGCAGGCGGCUCAUUAAGUCAAUUGUUAAAUUUCCCGGCCUAACCGGGAGUCAGCAAUAGAAACUGAUAAGCUUGAGGGUGGAAGAGAGAAGUGGAAUUCUCGGAGUAGCGGUAAAAUGCGUAGAUCUCGAGAGGAACACCGAUGGCGAAGGCAGCUUCUUGGUCCAUUUCUGACGCUCAUGCACGAAAGCGUGGGGAGCAAACAGGAUUAGAUACCCCGGUAGUCC